rnacentral:lncRNA from 11 species
GAAUGAGUCAUUGACAGGAGCUAUUUUCUUCCUCCACAACGAAGCCCAGCUGCAGCCAAUCCCAGCAGAAUUUCUUCCAAGCCUGGAGGUGAAUGGCAAGAAUACAGAUAUUUGCCAAUUUCUACAUCCUUAUAACCCAAUAAAAUUCCAAAAUAUCAGAAGAUUGGUGAAUUGUUAUGAAACUUGACGGGCCUGCAGAUCUUAAUGUAGUCCAUAACUGAGGUAGGUUUCAUGCAGAUAGACCUAAAAAUGACCGAGAAACGAGCCUCUAAAGCUUCCCCAUUGUAGCCAAUGGGCUGAAUCUUUCCCAAAUGAAAAUGGCACCCCCACCUCAAUUUUGACAAUUUCGCAGUAAACAGAAUGAGGGGUUAGCUACAAACGGGACUGAAAAACAGCAUGGUUUUGUGCCAAAUUGCAUACUCC